UAGCUCAGUCAGUUGAGCGUGGCGCUAACAAUGCCAAGGUCACGGGUUCGAUUCCCGU
rnacentral:tRNA from 1 species